AGGUGCGAAAGAUGGUGGAAUGAGAUGGACAUCAUUAGGUACAUGUAUGAAGGCACAAACGGUGUGAAUAUACUUUGUAUACAACCAGAAAUAUAAAAAAAAUGUGCUCUAUUUGUGUACUAUGAAUCGAAAUACAUUCUGCUGUCAUGUAUAUAAUUAGAACAAAUAAAAACAAAACAAUUGAAACUGUCAGUCCAUAACAGUUGUCCAAGAAUGAGCCUGUAGUCAUCACAAAGCAUGGUGCUUAAGGUACAGGGGCUCAGAUAAUAUUUGAAUGAAGUAGUGACUAUAGAGUAGGAAAUGCUCUUUUUUAUUUUUAAAGAUGAGAUAGAAAAUGGGCUUUAUGAGUUGGUGAAGAACAAAGCAAAACAAUCAGAUAAAGAUGUGAGAAUAUUUCAAGAUAAUUCAUUAUGAUAUGUUAUAAUUUCAUUAAUAAGGUGAUCAUCUAUUGAUCAUCUACUUUGUGCCUGGCCAGGGAGAUAGAGAUCUGUGGUACGAUGUGAUGAAUACAUUAAACUUUACAGCAUAUGGAGAGGAGACAGGUGGGUCCUGCUUGUCCCAGUGGGAGGCAGGGAAUUCCCCUAUGCUAGUUCUGGCUACCCCUGCCUUCACUUAUGUGGGCCCCUGGAUCUUGGACUUCCCAGCCUCCAGAACUGUAGCCAUCCUUAGAACCUGGUUUGGAGCUGUUGCUAUGCUACUCCACCUCUAUGGAUGGUGAGGGUUGGGUUCUUUAUAAAUCAAAGGAUUCUGUUACAGUGCACAAAGUAGGUAGGAAGGCAGUCAGGAAAUCCAAGUUGCUAGUUUUGUGUAACCUUGAACAAGUCACUCCUUUGUUUCAGAGGUUCAGUUUUCUUACCUAUAAUAGUUGAAUUGAGUGUUUGGGCUCCCUCCUAGUAACUAAUCCUAUACUCUGGGUUGUAUGCAUUUCAAUAGAAGAAAACAUCAGCCAAAGACUUGAAGUUCAGUUUGAGAGGAGGGAUGUUCACUAUGAGUUGUGGUCUUAUUUUCAAGGCUCAGGCAUGCUCCCUCUUCUUUCUAACCAUUAUCCGCCCCACCAUUUACAAGUAUGUUGUACUUGGAAUCUGAUCUGCAUUGGGAGCCAUUCAGAACUUGAGAGCACAUUCCCAUAUCUAUGGAUUGCUUCUGAUUUACUGUGCUGUGGAAGUCUAGCAGUUUCAUAGUUAAUCUUUUUAAACUGUGAUGCUCCUGUUUUCUUUGCUGCCUGACUCAUGGCUUUCCUGCUCCCCAGUUAUCCUGGAGAUUCAUAGAUGUGAGAUGCUUUUUCUUAAAUAACUUUCUAUAUUGACAUGAGGGCAGUUCUUGACCCCCAUUCUUCAUCUUUGGAUAUCCACUGCUAACAUUCUAAAUAUCUUUUUACUCUACCCUAUCCCUUUUCAAAAAGAACUGUGGCAGCCAACAAGGAUGUCUACAAAAUAAUUGGUCAUUAUAUUUCUUAUGAAAUAGAGAAUUAUAUGCGAAGACCAUGGGUGUGAUGAAUCAUAGAUAUGUGGGUCACAGGCUCUCCUGCUUCUGUGCUGUCUGGGAAGGACUCUAUUUACUUCCUUUUAAGUAUUUUCUUAUACCUCAUAAUUGCUGCUUCUUGGUCCAUAGGCCCCAUUAACACUUCCUCCUAGCAGCCCUGUUAUUUGUCACUGUUUUUAACUAGCUUCAUGGUCAGUGACUCCUAAGGGUGGUGAGAAAUGGGAAGGAUCUUAUUCUUUCUCUACUGAGUUGCCUGGAGAGCAUCUCUUGGUGAUUGCAGCUGCAAGUGUGACAUUUAAUUAGUAGAGAAAAUUGAGUCAGACAAGAGGCAGCCUGUGUCAACCAGAGGGGGAGAAAGGGCUGGGGAAGAAGUGAUAUGCUCAGGGGGGCAAUUUGGCCCAGGUUUUCUCCUAGACCCAGAUUGGGUGUGCACAUCACCUCAGGUGGGGAUUACAGAAGCUUAAGGAAAUUUCCAUUGUGAAGGGAGUCUCAAAUGCGUCCCUAUAGACACCUGGUGUCUUCUGUUGGGUACCUGACAUCUAUGCUGGGAAAGUCAGUGAUGAACUCUGAGAGGGGAGCAUCCUAGCUGAGGAAGGUCAGCUUCCUGCUCUCACAGCAUCUGGUGGGGAGGAUGACACAAGCUUGUUCUGGGAUCUGUGGUUUUCAGAGCACAGGAUCCAGAGUAUGAUGAGUUGGAAGGGCUUUCAGCAGCUCUAGGCCCAACUUUUCACUUUAAAGCUGAGGAAACCUGGAACCAGAGAGGGUCCUUGACUUGCCUAAGGGACUCAUUUGCUGUGCUGGAACCAGUGCUGGGGCACUGGAACCUGGUUCAGAGCUCUUGCUUUGCCUCUGUGACUGAAUGGUGAUGGCUGAGUUGCCCUGAAGAAAAUGACCUCUCCCUCACCUCUUUAGGCCUGAGCUUCAGCACUUCUCUGUCCUACAGAUAUUCUGGCUUAUUUCAAUAGAGCCACCUCUUUGCUGCAGAUGUAGAACUCCUUGGAGUGAUUCUUCUGCCACCUCCAGGUUCCUGACACCUUGAGAAAAGCUGACAAUCAGCAGUGGAAGUGAAGGGUGUGGGAGGAUCUGGAGGAGGGACUUAGCUGGGACUGGAGCCGCCGGGAAGGGCCCAGGAAGCAACUUAAAGGUGUGAGGUGGGGAAUGUGGCUUCUAAUGUUUGCUAGUACUCAGUCUGUUUUCAGAUCCAUCCAGUUGUAUCAAAACUGUCUGUUUAUAGUGGGUUUUCUGAAUUAGAAUCCAAACUAGAUAUUCUCAUUGCAUUUGAUUGUUACAUCAAAAAACCUUUGUCCAGAGCUUCUGCAACCAUAGUUCUGAGGGACAGGGUAAAUCAUUGCAACUCGUCUGUUCUUAGAGUGUGGCUAACCCAAGGGAGGUAAAGAGCAACAGGGCUGGGGAUCACAAGUCAAUCAGGUCCAAGUUUCCUGACUUGCUCAGAGGUGUGUGACUUGUUUGGUUUUUACUUUUGUCAUGAUUCACUGCUGGAGUGCUUCAUUGAAAGCAAACAGUGCAGUGGUGAGACACCUCUAGCUUCUGACUCAAAUUCCUUGGCUUAAUUUAUUUAACAUGUGAGUUCCUUUGAAACUCUUCAAUCCAUGAUCUCUCAUGUCAUAUAUAUUGAGCACCAACUAUGUGCCAGUGCUGUUAUUAGGGGCAGGACAAAGAUCAAUAAGAAGAGUGAGGAAGUUCUUGAUUAGAUGGAGGGUGUAGGUGUGUCCUGUCAGCUACAGAGCACAGUAUAGAGAAGGAAAAUGUGCUGUGAGUGCUCAAAUGAAAGGUGAAUGAAGUGGUCAGCUCUUCUGGGGUAGUCAGGAAAGGCCUUUCCCAAAGAGUCAGAACUAAGCUGUUAAGGGACAUUUGCCUGGCAAAGGAGGCUGGUGGAGGAAACAAUAUUCUAAGGCACUAAAAUUUUCUAAAAUGCAGAAAUGAUCUUGAGCAGCAGUGUUUUAGAAGUCACAUGAUGGAUAUUUACCUCAUGAAAAGUAAUUCCAUUUUGCCUAUAAAAUGUGGCUUCAGAUUUUAAAUAAUACUAUUUUAAAUAGUACUUUUCAGAACAAAUGAUGACAAUAUUAUCUUUUUAAAAUUUUAUUGGGUUGUACAUUUAUCAUCCUGCCCUACUUCCCAUUCCUUUCCUGUCAGAAUAAACAUUUUUUUUUCACUGCAAUAAACAGUUUUACUUCAUGGCAAAUUCUAAAAUUCCAUUUCUUUCCCUCUUUUUUUUUUUUGGUCCCAGGAAUUGAACCCAGAGGCUUAAUGACUGAGUCAUAUCCCCAGCCCUUUUAAAAAAAAAUUAUUUAGAGACAGGGUCUUACUUAGUUGCUUAGGGCCUCUCUGAGUUGUUGAAACUGGCUAUGAACUUGCGAUCCUCCUGCCUCAGCCUCCCCAGCUGCUGGGAUUAUAGGCAUGUGCCAUUCCACCUGGCUCUAAAAUUCCAUUUCUUUCUCAGGCCCCCUUUACCACUUUCUACUCUCUCUUCUUUGACUGAUCAAUAUAAAACCAAAAUAUGAUGAUAAAAAUAUACUCAUUCUUAAAAAAGAAAAAAAUCCUAAGCACCUUUUUACCUUUAGAUUUUGGUUAUCUAUUCAUCACGGGUCAAUGACCCUUGAUAGAAAAGUGAACUGCCUACUUGGUUUAAACCCAAACCGAAAUUGCAGUUUUGAGGGGAUUCUUAAGUGAACCCCGUUAAGAAUCCUGCAGCCCAUAGAGAGGAAUAAGAUUGACUGUAGGGGGAUCCCCAUCACCGAGCAGUGGGAGCCAGGCAUUGGACAAAGAGGGAGGCCUGGAAAGUGCAUUCACACUCUCACUUGAGUGGCUCUGCAAUGCUCAGAUUGAUGGGCACAACUCUAUAGCAGGUAGAGGAGAUUUGAAACGUGGUGUUAAAGUCCUGAACUUGGGGGCUUGUUCUAGCUCACAGCUGCUUGACAAGUGAUCUCAACUAGGUGACAUGCAGGGUGGUUAUUCCUUUGUGCCAGGCACAGUACUAAGCAUGAUAUUCAUAACUACUCAGUAAGGUGGGAUAUAUUAUUGCCUCCUGUAUCAUCCAGGAUUCUCCAGAGAAGCAGAAUCAGGAGUGUGUGUGUGUGUGUGUGUGUGUGUGUGUAACUAUAUAUAUUUAAAGAAAACAUUACUUGUGACAAUUGUUAAAGAGCAGUAAGGUAGACUUUCUUUAGAGGGGCUCUCAUAAUAGGUAAAGGGACUAUGGAAAUGGGGUUUUAUAGUAAGGAUGAGAGAUUGGGCUCAACUCUGAGUACAACAUGGAAAAGUGUGAAUUUAUACCCAAGGGGUAGAGUCAGAAUUCCAAACUGACUUCAUAGCCCUUGCCCUUAACAAUCAUGGGGCACUGUGGUCUAUUCUUCAACUAAAUAUGAAGUUAAUAAUAUAUUUCCUUUAAUAAUUCCUGUAUUUUUUCUCUUUUAUUCUUGUUUGGUACAGGGGAUUGAACCCAGGCAUGCUUUACCACUGAACUCCAUCCCCAAUCCUUUUGUAUUUUUUAUUUUGAGACAGGAUCUUGCUAAAUUUCCCAGGUUGGCCUCAAAUUUAUCAUCCUCCUGCCUCAGCCUCCUGAGUAGCUGGGAUUACAGGUGUGCAGCAUCACACCUGGCAGUCAUUGUGCUUUUAUUCUGUCUCAUUCCAAGCUGGAUUUGAAGAGUCUCUGAGAAACCAACAAGACAAUUCCUAUAUGAGUAUCUUAAAGACUGUUAAGGGAAAGGAAAAGGAAAAGGAAGCAGCAUUCACUGUGCACCUGUAUGUGCGAGCCACCAUGCCAGAGCCUUCAUAGUUGUCUAAUUUAACACAGUAAAUGUGAACCCUCCGUCCCUUGAGGUCUUGGAGGGAUGGACUAGACCUUGUACUCUCGCUUUCCAUGGGGCAGGCAGGUGUAGGUACUAAGUACCUAUGUGUGAUUGGGGUCACUGCCCAGUGGUAUAACAUGAAAUCAUGGCAAUCAAUGGUGCUAGGAACUUCUUGGGUGGGGCAAAAGAUUUGAUGGGGGAUCAAUAUCUUCCAGGAGAUGAAACGAUACUCCCAGCUCAUGUAGGGUGGUUUGCUGGAGAAAUUACCUGCAGGUGAUCUUGCUAAAAUUAUUGAUUUUUUUGUGCAAUGCAAUCCUCAGUUAGGAAAAUACUGCCUCAUAUGUCAUAUGGACUCUUUAGAACUUUAUCUUCCUGUAGGCAAAGUCCACUUAAUAGGUACUGAAUUCCUUUAAUCCACAACCCUGGCAAGUGUUGCUGAGGUAACAUAUAGGUUUCCGCCCUAUGGCUUGUUCCGCAUCUGUCCCUCUUCAGAUCAACUCAAAGCAGCAAAAAUAGCCAGCCUGUCAUGCAAAGGGCUUUGUGUUCAGUGGGCAUAUUAAGGAAUUAAGGACUUGUUUACAUGCAAGCAGGGUACGGGUGGUUAUUUCAAUACUAGUAAAUGAUAUCUUGGCAGACAGGUUUAUUUCACCCUAGGCUCUGGAAUGACUGGGAUUUCUGAACUUUCCAGGAGUUAUCUAAACUUGAGUCUCUUGAUCUGAGGGAAAUGUUCUUUGAAGGAGAAAAACUGGUUUCGCUUCAUGUAUUAGGAGGAAAGGGAGCAAGGUUUUGGAGUUAACCACAUUUGAUUGGGGGUGUUGGCUGUGUUACUUUCUAGCUGUUUGAAAGGGACAAAUUUAUCUCCCUCUCCAGGUCUCAGUUUUCAAAUAUAUACAAUACAGGAUCUGGUGUGGGUGUUAACAGGUUCCCCUAACUGCUGGGGAAAGGGAUGUACACUGUUGGGAUGAAAGAGAAGGGAGAAGUGGGGAGGAUACUGACUAUUCUUGGAGCAUUCUGUUUUUCCCUUUGUAAAAUGGAAAGCACAAUAGAUAGCAAUCAUCUUCUCCAGAGGUCAAAAGCUUGAUGCCUUGUGCUCAAUCAGUAGUUGGGGGUUGUAGGUUGAAUUGGCAAUUGGAAGUUGGUUGAAGUUUGAUGCAGUGAGACUGGAGAGUCCUCAGCCUGGUAGUGGGGAGGGAGGGUCUCCUCUAGGAGUCUCCUAGGUGGCCCCUCCUGAGCACGUGUACCUACUUGCCUCCACAUGGACAACCAGAUCAGCAACAUCGGCAAAUGCAGGCCCCUGAGCAAGAUAAGACAGUGGACUUCAAAGUGCUUAGGUCACCAUGGCUGCCAGCACCAAGAAGCUGUUCCAGAAGUUCUGAGACUGGGUACCUGCCACUCCCCAAAGUGAAAUAUAGUUAUUUUCCAUUCAUAGGCCAGACUUGGGAAUUGCAGGGCUGACAGAAAAGGUAAUUUUUUUUCAUCUUCUAGGGGAGUAAGUACAGAAAUGGAGCCAGAUUCUGAUUUCUUGUUUCUAGGUGAGAACAAAGCAACCUGACCUAAGAUGCUGCCCCUCUCCCUGGGUUUCUGCUUUUGGUCCUUGUUACCUUCUCGUUCUCAGUAGGUUGAUGAGGCUGGCCUUGAAGUUGCCAUCCUCCUGCUUCAGCCUCCUGAGUUGUUGGGAUUAUAGGUGUGUGCCACCAUGCUUGGCUGGCUUUGACUUGUUGUGACAGAUCGUGUGAGCCCUGUCCCUCUGCCAUACUUUUCCGCCAUGAUGUUCUGCCUCAUCUCGGGCCCUGGGAACGGAGCUGUCCUUCUAUGGAAUAAGACCUCUGAAACUGUGAGCCCUCAAAUAAACUUUUCCUCAUCUACAACUUUUCUGGUUGGGUCUUUCAGUCUCAGCAGCAAAAAGGCUAACUAAAACACCAUGGUUUCAGGCAUCUACUGAGGGUCUUGGAAUGCAACUCCUGGAUAAGUGGGCCAGGGGACUAGUGUAUGUGCUAAGGCAUUUUAAUACUGUGCUAAUACUGUGCUAAGGUAAUUUCAAUAAAAUCAUCAAAACAGCAAAAAUCAGAAUCAUUUUAUCUUAAGAAUAUUUUGUUCUUUCUUACUGGGGAUUUCUUGGAAGUUGUUGUAGUCCAGUUCUAGUCUAGUUCGUUUGGCUACUCACAAUUGAUGAGAACAAUUCAAAUGUCCAUCAGUGGAUGAAAGAAAUUGUGGUAUAUCCAUACAAUGGAAUUUAUUCAAUAAUAAAAUGAAGGAAUGAAGUAAUGAUUACUGCUAUAACUCAUGGAACUUGAAAACAUUAAACACUAACCACCCUGAAUGGUCUCAUAUUGUGAUUCCUUUUAUAGGACAUAUCCAGAAUAGGCAAAUCCAUAAAGCAGGAAGUAUAUCAGAGGGCACCAGGGGAUAGGAGGAGUAAGGGAAAUUGAGGAGUGACUACUUAAUGGGUGUUUUCAUGGGUGAUUAAAAAGUUCUGAAACUAGAGAAACUGGUGGUUAUACAAUAUUGUGAAAACACUAACCACCCUGAAUUGUAUACUUAGAAAUGAUUAAUUGUAAGUUAUGUGAAUUCCAUCUCAUUGAAAAGAAAAAAGCAGCUGGAAAGUUUUUUUUUUUAAAUGUGAGCUCCUACUACCCCCAGCCCCAUGGUUGGAUUUGCCUCCAAGAAGCAUACUGACAGGCAAGCUCACUUUAUAAAUGGUGUGAAGUGGCUACCUGGCUUGGAGUGACUCAUCAUCAUUUAUUAGGCACCUUGGAGGCUUGAAAGCAGUGCAUUUUGGGCAAUUUGCUGAUUAUUCCUUUAGGCAAUCCUAAUACUGAGCCCCAUGGGUAGCAAGAAAUAGCAUGUGAUUAGAGCAGAAGCAAUUACUCUUAGAAAAGCAUCAUUAAUUUCAAAAGCUCUUGUCUUGAGCUACUGGCUAAGUGGAGACAAAUUAGGAUGCUGUCUAGAGAAGAGAAAGGGUUUCCCCUCUUUAGGACAGAAAAGGAAACCUAAUGCAAUGUCAUCUGUUCCAAGCAGUUAGUCC